AUCGCCCAGCCCUAACUUCUGUCUUAUUUGUGUCUCACUAGAUCAGUCGACAGCGCUGUCCAUCUUCUAACUGUGGACAUGUUGUUAGUCCCUUUGUAUGCACAAGAGCUAAUGAAAACAAUGAAAAUCCGACUUGUAAAUGAAAGGCAUUCAACUCGGGUGUGACGUUAUUCCCAGCUUCGGCUUCCGAGUUCUGAGGUAAAUGGAAUGCACUAUUACUACGAAGGAGGACAGGGAGGAUU